GGACUUAUAGCCAAAUUGGUUAAGGCAUCCUGCUCAUAACAGGAAGAUUUUGUGGGUUCGAGUCCCACUGAGUCCA
rnacentral:tRNA from 1 species